CCUACGGGGGGCAGCAGUGAGGAAUAUUGGUCAAUGGGCGCAAGCCUGAACCAGCCAAGUCGCGUGAGGGAUUAAGGCCCUGCGGGUCGUAAACCUCUUUUGCCGGGGAGCAGUGGUCCGGACGCGUCCCGCCCGUGAGAGUACCCGGAGAAAAAGCAUCGGCUAACUCCGUGCCAGCAGCCGCGGUAAUACGGAGGAUGCGAGCGUUAUCCGGAUUUAUUGGGUUUAAAGGGUGCGUAGGCGGGCAUUUAAGCCGGCGGUCAAAUGUCGGGGCUCAACCCCGGCCUGCCGUCGAAACUGGGUGACUUGAGUGGACGAGAAGUAUGCGGAAUGCGUGGUGUAGCGGUGAAAUGCAUAGAUAUCACGCAGAACCCCGAUUGCGAAGGCAGCAUACCGGCGCCCUACUGACGCUGAGGCACGAAAGUGUGGGGAUCGAACAGGAUUAGAUACCCCAGUAGUC
rnacentral:rRNA from 1 species